rnacentral:rRNA from 1 species
AGAGUUUGAUCCUGGCUCAGGACGAACGCUGGCGGUGUGCUUAACACAUGCAAGUCGAACGGUAAGGCCCUUUCGGGGGUACACGAGUGGCGAACGGGUGAGUAACACGUGAGUAACCUGCCCUCAUCUCUGGGAUAACAGUCGGAAACGGUUGCUAAUACUGGAUAUGAGCUUGCAAGGCAUCUUGUGGGUUGGAAAGAUAUUUUUUGGUUGGGGAUGGACUCGCGGCCUAUCAGCUUGUUGGUGAGGUAGUGGCUCACCAAGGCUUCGACGGGUAGCCGGCCUGAGAGGGCGACCGGCCACAUUGGGACUGAGAUACGGCCCAGACUCCUACGGGAGGCAGCAGUGGGGAAUAUUGCACAAUGGGCGGAAGCCUGAUGCAGCAACGCCGCGUGCGGGAUGACGGCCUUCGGGUUGUAAACCGCUUUCACCCAUGACGAAGCGCGAGUGACGGUAGUGGGGGAAGAAGCACCGGCCAACUACGUGCCAGCAGCCGCGGUGAUACGUAGGGUGCGAGCGUUGUCCGGAAUUAUUGGGCGUAAAGAGCUUGUAGGCGGUUGAUCGCGUCGAUAGUGAAAUCCCGGGGCUCAACCUCGGGCUUGCUGUCGAUACGGGUUGACUUGAGGAAGGUAGGGGAGAAUGGAACUCCCGGUGGAGCGGUGGAAUGCGCAGAUAUCGGGAAGAACACCGGUGGCGAAGGCGGUUCUCUGGACCUUUCCUGACGCUGAGAAGCGAAAGCGUGGGGAGCAAACAGGCUUAGAUACCCUGGUAGUCCAUGCUGUAAACGGUGGGCGUUAGGUGUGGGGACCGGUUUGGUUUCUGUGCCGUAGCUAACGCAUUAAGCGCCCCGCCUGGGGAGUACGGCCGCAAGGCUAAAACUCAAAGGAAUUGACGGGGGC